CUCGUAGUCCUAACUAUAAACGAUGUCAACCAAGGAUUGGAUGAAAUAAAGAAAUUCGCGGAUGAAGAAACAUUGUUUCGGAAACCAAGAGUUUCACAACUACCUUGUUCAGAACUUAAAGAGAAAUCUCGAGUUUAUGGACUUCAGGGGGAGUAUGGUCACAAGGCUGAAACUUAAAGGAAUUGACGGAAGGGCACACCAGG
rnacentral:rRNA from 1 species